rnacentral:ncRNA from 1 species
ACAAUGACGUGGAAAAGAAGAGUAGGCAGGUAUGCUUUUGCAGAGAGUUUCCGUUUGGUGAGAGGAAAUAAAGAGGAGCUGCUGAAAAUGGUCUUGGAGUCGCGCAGUCGAACAAGGUAGGCUGCGACGUGUUCGCUCGUUACAGCGAUAGGGUAUAACUUUCGUAUAGCAUACGAAAACGUACUUGAUGAGGUUUUCACUGUGAGGUGGAAAUAAACUUAGGUGGUAACACGAAAUGCAGCUUUCGUCCUAUGG